GAUGAACGCUGGCGGCGUGCCUAAUACAUGCAAGUCGAGCGAACGGACGAGAAGCUUGCUUCUCUGAUGUUAGCGGCGGACGGGUGAGUAACACGUGGAUAACCUACCUAUAAGACUGGGAUAACUUCGGGAAACCGGAGCUAAUACCGGAUAAUAUUUUGAACCGCAUGGUUCAAAAGUGAAAGACGGUCUUGCUGUCACUUAUAGAUGGAUCCGCGCUGCAUUAGCUAGUUGGUAAGGUAACGGCUUACCAAGGCAACGAUGCAUAGCCGACCUGAGAGGGGGAACGCCCACACUGGAACUGAGACCCGGCCCAGACCCCUACGGGAGGCAGCAGUAGGGAAUCUUCCGAAAGGGGCGAAAGCCUGACGGAGCAACGCCGCGGGAGGGAUGAAGGUCUUCGGAUCGUAAAACUCUUUUAUUAGGGAAGAACAUAUGUGUAAGUAACUGUGCACAUCUGGACGGUACCUAAUAAAAAAGCCCCGGCUAACUACGU
rnacentral:rRNA from 1 species